rnacentral:rRNA from 1 species
GAUUAGGGUUUUGAAUCUGGCUCAGGAUGAACGCUGGCGGCGUGCUCAACACAUGCAAGUCGAACGAACCUUCGGGUUAGUGGCGGACGGGUGAGUAACGCGUGAGAAUCUGCCCUCAGGAGGGGGAUAACAGCUGGAAACGGCUGCUAAUACCCCAUAUGCCGCGAGGUGAAAUGAAUUUCGCCUGAGGAUGAGCUCGCGUCUGAUUAGCUAGUUGGUGUGGGUAAUGGCUCACCAAGGCAUCGAUCAGUAGCUGGUCUGAGAGGAUGAUCAGCCACACUGGGACUGAGACACGGCCCAGACUCCUACGGGAGGCAGCAGUGGGGAAUUUUCCGCAAUGGGCGAAAGCCUGACGGAGCAACGCCGCGUGAGGGAUGAAGGCCUCUGGGCUGUAAACCUCUUUUAUCAAGGAAGAAGAUCUGACGGUACUUGAUGAAUAAGCCACGGCUAAUUCCGUGC